ACAGCGGUAAAAACUCCGGUGGUAUGAGAUGGGCCCGCGUCUGAUUAGCUAGUUGGCGGGGUAACGGCCCACCAAGGCGACGAUCAGUAGCCGACCUGAGAGGGUGACCGGCCACAUUGGGACUGAGACACGGCCCAAACUCCUACGGGAGGCAGCAGUGGGGAAUAUUGCACAAUGGGGGAAACCCUGAUGCAGCGACGCCGCGUGAGCGAUGAAGUAUUUCGGUAUGUAAAGCUCUAUCAGCAGGGAAGAAAAUGACGGUACCUGACUAAGAAGCCCCGGCUAACUACGUGCCAGCAGCCGCGGUAAUACGUAGGGGGCAAGCGUUAUCCGGAUUUACUGGUGUAAAGGGAGCGUAGACGGCAAUGCAAGCCAGAUGUGAAAGCCCGGGGCUCAACCCCGGGACUGCAUUUGGAACUGUGUAGCUGGAGUGUCGGAGAGGCAGGCGGAAUUCCUAGUGUAGCGGUGAAAUGCGUAGAUAU
rnacentral:rRNA from 1 species